rfam:Haemonchus placei strain MHpl1 genome assembly, scaffold: HPLM_scaffold0000180
GGCCCAAAUCUGAAGUAAGGUAGAUUUAUAAGGUCAGCUGACCCUGCUAUUCUACUGUACUUCGAAAUUGGGCCC